UGCCCCAUGGCUGAGUUGGUUACAGUGUCCGACUAUUAUCCUCAAUUUAUAACAACAUCGAAAGCUCGAGAGUUCGACCCUCUCUGGAGCAG